rnacentral:ribozyme from 1 species
UGCCCAGCAACUCCUAUCCCUACCUCCACGCGGUACCGGCCGGAAACUAUUAGCAACCUUAGGGAAGAUCGGGUAACCAACCCCGUGGGAACUUUGGUCGUAGGCUGACAGGGAAGG